CGGGUGAGUAACGCGUGGGUAACCUGCCUCAUACAGGGGGAUAACAGUUAGAAAUGACUGCUAAUACCGCAUAAGCGCACGGGGAUGCAUAUCUUUGUGUGAAAAACUCCGGUGGUAUGAGAUGGACCCGCGUCUGAUUAGCUAGUUGGUGAGGUAACGGCUCACCAAGGCGACGAUCAGUAGCCGACCUGAGAGGGUGACCGGCCACAUUGGGACUGAGACACGGCCCAAACUCCUACGGAAGGCAGCAG
rnacentral:rRNA from 1 species